rnacentral:rRNA from 1 species
UGCCAAGAUAAGGUGAAACCGCGAAUGGCUCAUUAAAUCAGUCAUGGUUCCUUAGAACAUACCAUCCUUCUUGGAUAACUGUGGUAAUUCUAGAGCUAAUACAUGCAACAGAGCUUCGACCCUUGUGGAACAAGCGCUUUUAUUAGACCAAAGACCAAUCGGAGCUUCGGCCCCGUCAGUCUGUGGUGACUCUGGAUAACUUUUAGCGGAUCGCACGGUCAUCGUGCCGGCGACUCCUCUUUCAAAUGUCUGCCUUAUCAACUUUCGAUGGUAGGUUAAUUGCCUACCAUGGUUGUAACGGGUGACGGGGAAUCAGGGUUCGAUUCCGGAGAGGGAGCCUGAGAAACGGCUACCACAUCCAAGGAAGGCAGCAGGCACGCAAAUUACCCACUCCCAGUACGGGGAGGUAGUGACGAAAAAUAACAAUGCGGGACUCUUACGAGGCCCCGUAAUUGGAAUGAGUCCACUUUAAAUCCUUUAACGAGGACCUAUUGGAGGGCAAGUCUGGUGCCAGCAGCCGCGGUAAUUCCAGCUCCAAUAGCGUAUACUAAAGUUGUUGCGGUUAAAAAGCUCGUAGUUGGAUGUCAGUCGCGGGCGGGCGGUCCACCGUUUUGGUGGUUUACUGCUCGUCCCGCGACCUACUGGCCGGCCUCCCCCGCUAUGCUCUUCACCGGGUGUGGCGGGUGGCCGGAAAGUUUACUUUGAAAAAAUUAGAGUGCUCUAAGCAGGUGCUUGCCGCCUGAAUAACACAGCAUGGAAUAAUGGAAUAGGACCUCGGUUCUAUUUUGUUGGUUUUCGGAAUUCCGAGGUAAUGAUUAAUAGGGACAGACGGGGGCA